GACAGGGGCUGGCUUCUGGAGAGGAAAAUCGUCAACUAGCGCGUGCUCUGCGACAUGAUGCCUGGCCUGCCCAAUCACCCCAUGUUCAGGACCCUCAGCGUCUGGCCCAGCGACAUGGACGCCGCCCGCUCCGGCAAGGUUUUCAUCAGAACCACGGGCUACGGCCGCUUCUCCUUCCAUCUUGAUACGGGCAAGCUCGAGCGUCUGUCCACGGAAACCGGCAUGGAUUACGGACACCCCAUCUUCGCCUACUUUCUCGCAUGGCCGCCCGCCUUCCUUGCUCCCGAUCACUACUGAAUCCACUUACUACUUGGUGGUGACUUGCAACGCAUUGGCGCAACUUUUGUUUGGAGUCAGCGUGCAUGCAUCCUCCAUCUAGUCACUACUUACGUGCUGCCAUCUCCCUUUCAAACUGCACAGCAUUCUGUGGUGUGUGCAAUAUGAGACUAUCUAUGCAGUUUAUUGAUGCGAUGUUAUCCAAGCAUCCUUUGGACAAGAUGAUAUUUGGCAAGAUGUUCUGUCAAAUUGUGCUGAAUUUGGACAAGCCAUGGUUUUCCUCUUAUUCAGUAAUAUUUAUCUGAUUUUGAAUCUA